rnacentral:lncRNA from 1 species
UUACUAAGCUAGGAUUGAAACGAUGCAUUUUAGAAAUUCCUUACACGCAUCGUUUCACUAAACAAAACGCAGAGUUUUUGCCUUAAUUAAACAAGCAUUAACAAAACAUUUAAUUAACGAAAUUAACAGUAAAUUAAAAGGUAGACCAUUGUGUUGAAGUAGCAGUCUGUCCUAUAUCAAUUACUCCUCCCUCGAACAUGACCCUUAUCCUCAAGGAAAAAAGUCUGGAAAUUUCUUGCAAAAUUCAUUAAAAUUCUCCCAUGUUGAGUCCCCAGGAAAAGCAUUUGCCUAUUCCACUAAAACCUCGGCGAUGGCCUGAUUACCCCUUUUGACCAUCCGUUUGUCCACGAUCUUGGUUAGAACUUUCAGUAGAGCACCUUCAGAUCUGACUAAGAGUAGUAAUGGAGAAUGAGGUGCUCGACCAAUAUGUUUUUUCAGUUGUGAUAUGUGGAAGUUAGGGUGAAUUCUCGACCCAACAUGUAAGGAUAGUCUAUAAGCAACUCGUCCCACGUUAGCUUUAAUAGGAUACGGGCCAAAGUAUUUGGGGGAUAGUUUUGAUUCACUAUUCAUCGAAUGGAGUGUUGUCGAUAAGGUUGCAAUCGAAGAUAAACCAAAUCACCCACCUAAAAUUCUCUAUUUGAUCUUUUUUUAUCAGCCAACAGUUUCAUUCUUCCUUGAGAUCUUUUAAAAUGAAAUCUGAGUAGCUGUCGAGCUGUUUCUCUUGCUUGCAAGCUACGAUCCACAGUAGCCACUAAUGAAGACCCAGCAACAUAAGGUUGGUGUAAAGGUGGUCUUGACCAUAAAGUGUUGUAUAAGGAAAAGAGUGUAUGGUUGUGUGAUGUGUGGUAUUAUAUCACCAUUCGACUAAAGGUAGCCAAACUGACCCAAUCGCUAGGUCUCUCACCUAUCAUGCAACGGAAAUAGCCUUCUAAACAUCUAUUCAAGGCCUCUGUUUGACCAUCCGUUUGUGGGUGGUAUGGAGUAGAGAGAUGUAAUUUGGUUCCUAUAAGUUUAAAUAGCUCUUGCCAGAAGAUGCUAAUGAAAAUUGUGUUUCGGUCAGACACAAUGGACUCAGGGGCUCCAUGGAGUUUGUAAAUGUGACAAAUAAAUUCUUGGGCAAUAGUGACUGCAGUGAACGGGUGAGCUAAUGAUAAGAAGUGUCCAUACUUAGUGAGUUGGUCAACCACGACCAUUAUUGUGUUCUUUCCCUUAAAUGGACAUCAAUAAAGUCUAUACUAAUGGUAGACUAAGCCCAAUUGGGGAUAAGUGGAGGCUAAAGGAGAUCAGGGGAGGCUGCAAGGUCUACUUUGCAUCUUUGACAAGUUAAACACUCCUGCACCCAGUUCUUAAGAUCCUUCGAUAGACCCUUCCAGUAAAGUAAACUGGAGACGCGGUGUCGUAUGGCAUGUAUUCUAGAGUGGCCUCCAAUGGACUAUCAUGGAAAUUGUGGAAAAGAUCCCUCCUGAGCUCUGUAUUACUGCCAAUGACCACCUUUCCCUUUCUCCGCAAUACUAAUCUAUCCCAGCUAUAUUUAAGGUGAGCAUGGGGUUACUAUUGUAGCUCAUAGAUUACUUGCUACAGUUUUGUGUCCACCAGUACUAUGCUAACAGUUCUUUCCAAAUUUCAGACCAUACCUUGUUGAUCUCACAUUGGAGCAUCUGUCCAUCUUGCACAUGGGACCUUCUGGAUAGAGCAUCGACUAUAGUGUUCAGGGAGCCUUUUCUGUAGAGAAUAGAGUAAUCGUAUCACAACAUUUUUGUAACCCACUUUUGUUGGUAUGGUGUGAUGGCCUAUCCAUCCGAGAGGAAUUUGAGAAUUUGGUGGUCUGUUUGAAUCAAGAAGCGCCUCCCAAUUAAAUAUGCAUGCCAUUUUUUUUUUUACUGCAAACAAAACAACUAACAUUUAUUUUCCAUAGAUAGAUAGUGUUUGGUGUUUGACACCUAACCCUUUAAUUCACCUUGUGAGAGGGACUUGGCCUUAUAUUGUGUAUUAG